AGUGAACGCUGGCGGUAGGCCUAACACAUGCAAGUCGAACGGCAGCACAGUAAGAGCUUGCUCUUACGGGUGGCGAGUGGCGGACGGGUGAGGAAUACAUCGGAAUCUACUUUUUCGUGGGGGAUAACGUAGGGAAACUUACGCUAAUACCGCAUACGACCUACGGGUGAAAUCAGGGGAUCUUCGGACCUUGCGCGAUUGAAUGAGCCGAUGUCGGAUUAGCUAGUUGGCGGGGUAAAGGCCCACCAAGGCGACGAUCCGUAGCUGGUCUGAGAGGAUGAUCAGCCACACUGGAACUGAGACACGGUCCAGACUCCUACGGGAGGCAGCAGUGGGGAAUAUUGGACAAUGGGCGCAAGCCUGAUCCAGCCAUACCGCGUGGGUGAAGAAGGCCUUCGGGUUGUAAAGCCCUUCUGUUGGGAAAGAAAAGCAGCAGGUUAAUACCCCGCUGUUCUGACGGUACCCAAAGAAUAAGCACCGGCUAACUUCGUG
rnacentral:rRNA from 1 species